rnacentral:rRNA from 1 species
UACAGAGGUGGCAAGCGUUGUUCGGAAUUACUGGGCGUAAAGAGCGCGCAGGCGGUCGGAUUAGUCGCGUGUGAAAGCCCCCGGCUCAACUGGGGAGGGUCACGCGAUACUGUUCGACUCGAAGGCAGGAGAGGGAAGUGGAAUUCCCGGUGUAGUGGUGAAAUGCGUAGAUAUCGGGAGGAACACCAGUGGCGAAGGCGACUUCCUGGCCUGUUCUUGACGCUGAGGCGCGAAAGCUAGGGUAGCAAACGGG